GAUGAACGCUAGCUACAGGCUUAACACAUGCAAGUCGAGGGGAAACGACAUCGAAAGCUUGCUUUUGAUGGGCGUCGACCGGCGCACGGGUGAGUAACGCGUAUCCAACCUGCCCACCACUUGGGGAUAACCUUGCGAAAGUAAGACUAAUACCCAAUGAUAUCUCUAGAAGACAUCUGAAAGAGAUUAAAGAUUUAUCGGUGAUGGAUGGGGAUGCGUCUGAUUAGCUUGUUGGCGGGGUAACGGCCCACCAAGGCAACGAUCAGUAGGGGUUCUGAGAGGAAGGUCCCCCACAUUGGAACUGAGACACGGUCCAAACUCCUACGGGAGGCAGCAGUGAGGAAUAUUGGUCAAUGGACGAGAGUCUGAACCAGCCAAGUAGCGUGCAGGAAGACGGCCCUAUGGGUUGUAAACUGCUUUUAUAAGGGAAUAAAGUGAGUCUCGUGAGACUUUUUGCAUGCACCUUAUGAAUAAGGACCGGCUAAUUCCGUG
rnacentral:rRNA from 1 species